GAUGAACGCUGGCGGUGUGCCUAAUACAUGCAAGUCGAGCGAACAGACGAGGAGCUUGCUCCUCUGACGUUAGCGGCGGACGGGUGAGUAACACGUGGAUAACCUACCUAUAAGACUGGGAUAACUUCGGGAAACCGGAGCUAAUACCGGAUAAUAUAUUGAACCGCAUGGUUCAAUAGUGAAAGACGGUUUUGCUGUCACUUAUAGAUGGAUCCGCGCCGCAUUAGCUAGUUGGUAAGGUAACGGCUUACCAAGGCAACGAUGCGUAGCCGACCUGAGAGGGUGAUCGGCCACACUGGAACUGAGACACGGUCCAGACUCCUACGGGAGGCAGCAGUAGGGAAUCUUCCGCAAUGGGCGAAAGCCUGACGGAGCAACGCCGCGUGAGUGAUGAAGGUCUUCGGAUCGUAAAACUCUGUUAUUAGGGAAGAACAAAUGUGUAAGUAACUAUGCACGUAUUGACGGUACCUAAUCAGAAAGCCACGGCUAACUACGUG
rnacentral:rRNA from 1 species